GCAAUAAGUUUCCAUGCGGCUCUGUUAAAACCCUCCAAAGGUGGUGUCCCCUUCUGUUACUAAAUAAGGCCUAAUUAGUUGGUAUUGGGCACUUGCACAACCUGAAAUGCCGGAGUAGUUCUGUGGGUUUUUAUGGAAGUUGCCGGUGCUCGGUUGUUAGCCUACACAGAAAUUCACUAUUUCUGAGUGUUUAAUUGUUAAACAUUCCACGAUUUCAUUAGUAGUAAUAUUAGUUUACUAUAAAUAUUACUCAGUUCAUAGAGAAACAGAUAUUUAAUACUCAUCCCUAUGGUGUUACAAGCUUGUCUCGAGUUAUUUCAGAAAAAUUCUUGGUCUUACACGACACUCAUAAUUUAUAAGGUAUCCAUUACCAAAAACCUUCACCUCCUCAUUCAGGGGCAGACAUUUAUGUUGUGUUUAAAGAUUAACAUUUUAUAUUCCUCACAAUCAGCUCUCAGGAAGAUAAAAAUACAUUAACUCAUCUCAAUCUGUAGAGAUUUUCUCCGAAAGGAGCAAGAAAUCCUAUUGUCAAACUGAAGGCAAAAUAAGGGAUUAGAGUCUCCUAACAACUGCAUGCACAGAGAUGGUUUAAGCUGAAAUUUUACAUAAAAAGGUGCAAAUAAAUGCUUUUAAACAGAACCAGAUUGCAUUUUCUAGCUCUCUCCCAUAAUAAUUGUAAACAGCUUUGAUUUCAAAGGGAAAAUCAGACAAUUAUUUUAUAAUGAGAGGUGUGGUCUAGUGAUUUGAGCAUCAGACUGGCAGCCAAAAACCACGGGAGUUUUAAUCUGGCUCUGACACUGACACCAUCUAUUGCCUGAGGCUAAUCAGCAUGGGCUUGACUGAGAUCUCUCCUAUGGGUGCAGGAGGUAGGGGCUGCUGCAGAAUUCCUGAUGCAAUGAAAGUGAGCAGGAACCCUUCCCUCCGCAGCCCCCAGCUCAUGGCCAGCAUCUCCCUGAGCUGUGGGACAGCGUUCCAGACCAGAGGAAGAAUUUCAACCUAUGCAAGUUCACCCCAGGCGAGCUGAGGUGCAGGAAAGCCAUAGUUGCUAAGUGCUGUCAAUAAAAGCUUUAAAACCUCUUUGCAUAAGCAUGUUUGAGUAGGCCUCCACUUUGAAGAAAGCCUGCUGUUUAGGUCGAGGGGUGAGUAAAGCCAGUCUUGCCUUUAGAACACUCCCGGCACCUGGGGAGAUUUUUAUUUCCUUUAAGCACCUUGUAGUUAAAUUUUUAGUCAUUGUUUUCUUUCUUCCUGUGCGUGCCCAUCCCCCAGUGACCCCAGCUCUUCCCUGUCCUUUGCUUCUGAGCACAAUUCUUCCUGUCUCAUUGGGUUGUCUGAUUUUUUACCCUUGAUUAAUACGAACACAGACAAAACUCUCAUCCUUGGGGAUCUUAAUCGGAAGGUUGAUUGCCUUUUCUUCUUUGCUUGUACACUUUCCAUCACUUUAGGUUCCUUGGGGUCCACAGACAGACUUUAAUUUCCCCCCCUUCCCCCCCAACAUUCACCAUCAUUUUCCUGAUCUUUAUUCGCUUGGGGCUUGACUCCUUCUAAUAUGAAUAUUAGGCAUCUUGCCAUCCCCGAUGACAGAUCGGCUCUUUGAUGUGUCUAAUUAUGAUGGAGAGGGGGCAGAGAAAGCAGGACCUCCUGAAGCCAGGAUAAAUUUGCUGUCCUUAUAAACUCUAAGCAGUAAUAUGCUCCUCUGCUUCCCCUCUUGCAUGUGGCAGCAUCCCAAACUCCUGUCCUGCCCAACCCAAAACCAUUCAGUCAAUGUCCCAUCCAAGGAAAGUUUCCACAUUUGAACCUGCUUAAUUUGAAAGAGAGAAGAUGGUAGAAGGUAGGAGGAAAUUAUGACAGGGAGGGGUCGGGAGUUGGGGAAUGGGGAGUUGGACCUCAGCUUUGCAUGGCAAAAGCAUAGGUGUCUGUCUGAAAGCAAUCUAGUGAGAGGAGCUGGUUCCUCCACCCCACAUAACUUUCCCUCUGUCUUGUUAUGACAGUGACACUCAGCACUCACAUCAGUGCUUUGCAAAACUCAUCAAAUUCUACCUCGCAGUACCUUUCUAAGUUGAAUUUUUAUUUCAUUUUUAUGGAUGCUGUUAAGAGGCAGGAAACACUGCUUUAGGAGCAAGAGGCUUAGAAGCACUCAGUGAUCGAAGUCACUCCUGUUGCUUUUAAGUUAUUUAGGUAUUUUCAGAGAAUCCCAUCCCAAAUUCCUUCCCUUUGGUUAAGAAAAAUAUCUGUGGCAAAUCAGCAACUGGACUCAUUCUGGAGUUUAUGACAGCCAGACCUCAGCUGAACCCAUGGCUUUCCUCCACAACUUUAAACCCCUCUGUCUGGCUAUUUCCAGGGUGCAGCUGCCGUUUUUAGGAGGAGGAAGGAGAGAACGGUGAAGAGAACGUUUAGCACCAACGACUGCUUCAAGUCUGUACUGUUGAACUCAUACUGUUCUCUUUUGCACCUGUAUGCCCACAGAACUGUUGAACAGUUCUUACCUGUACUGCAGUAAUGCGUCAGUGCCAUGUUCAGGACCAGGGCUCCAUUAGUUAAAUGCUUUAUAAACACAUGAAAGGCCGUGGUCUCUGCCCCGAGGUACUUGAAGCCUUGUUAGCAAAUCUCACAGACGUUUCUUAAUAUGAAUUUAUUGCUGAUCUGUCUGCCCCAGAGCCUGAAAUUCUUUAUUUAUCUGCCAAACAGGCAUGGCGGGAGUUUCAGCAUUGCUUCCUCUUAUGAUACCUGGCUAAUGUGCUUCCAGCCUGGCCCACAGUGAUCAUCUCCUGGGAAGAAAGAAUCUUCCUGCCAUUCAGCAUUCAGCCCUUGAUCUUUCUACCAAAAUGGGAAAUCAGUACUGCUGAAAUGAACACUGAUCAACACUGACAAAACCUUUCACCUCAUCUCGUGCAAUAAGCUGGGGUUACGUCUGUGCUGCUGUCCUUCAGCAGAAAGUCUUGAGUGGAAAGUUUCCUACCAUUUCUCUCACCUCUUCACUUUUCAGAGCAAAUGCAGAAGCCUGCUUUAAAUUAAACAGCCAGAAGGUGAAGGGAAGUAAUGUUCUCAUCUACAGAGUGACAGCGUGAAAGGCAGUGGUGAUGGGAUCGCCGUGCAACAGAGGUAGAGCGAGUACAGGGAACAUCUAUCAAUAUUUACUGAGCAGCAUUGUUUUUCCAUUUCGUGUUCCUCAGCCCUUCAUCUUUACAGAGCCCUGCCCUGUAAUAGCUCUGCGCUUAUUGCUCUGCAUUGCCAAACAAGAAACCUACUUCCUGGCUCUGAUAUUUGUUGACAAGGAUGAAGAAGAGUGUGGAAGCCUUUCUCUCCACGGCUCCUCUCCAACCACACCAGAGGAGAGAUUAAUAGUUUCUGAAAGCAUUUCCACCCUGCAGAAAAGGUCACCACAGUGCUGGGGAAGAUGUAUAAACAGCAGUCCAUUGGGACUCUAAUAACAUGGGAAAAACCUCCUCCAGCACAAGAAUAUUACCAAAACAGCUCUACCAGUGGCACCUUCAGAGUGGUGGAGAUAGGCAGGUGAUGUUGCAGGUUAUUAUUUUUCCCAAAGAGUAACACAGUCCCAUCAUUUCUGCAGGUGAUUUUUUAUUUUUUUUUUAACUAACAGCUUUUCUUUGCAGUUUGUCAUGAUGUGGACUGUGAUCUGUGGGGCAAGCUGCUUAGGGCUGUGAGGGAAUAUAUCCCUGUCACUUUAUCGUCUGGAUUCAGUCAGCUGACUUUUGAAUUCGCUCAGUACUGUGAGUUAUGGUGGGAUUUUGCUUUAGCUAUUUUAUGCCAAGUCUAUCAUCUCAAUAUUGCUCUGGCUCUGGACAGUAGAGUUAGCCUGAAUUAACUUGCUAGAUAUUCCUGUGUAUCCUUUUUGUGUUUCACACAGCUUUUGGGGCCUGAUUUACUGAAUACCUUAAUCCAACAGCACUUACUUCACUUUUGAGGCAGAAAAAACCUGCCAGAAAAGCUAGCAGAAGCUUAGUGAGAGCAGCACACAAAUCUUCACGUUGGGUUUUCCACUCAUCGAUUUAAGAUGGGGAGGCUGCAUUGCUAUGUGUUUACAUUCUAACUAAAUUCCAUAUAGAUGAUGUGUAUGCACAGACCUACACACACACAAUACAGUUCGUUAUCCUGAAUCACAGAAUCAAGCUACCUAGGUGCAGUGUUCUUUUAAAGUCAAAAUUGUUGGUGCUCAUAUUGCUGAAAAGAGAGGAAAAAGCAUCUGAAAUGGACUGAUGCAAUUUUGUCAGUUUAUCAUAAACUACCAGACCCAAGCUACGAGAAUAGCUGAUCCUGACAGAUGCUUGCUGUUGGAGUGCCCACAUAGGGAGAAGUCUGCUUGUGAAUCUGGUAGGGGGCACAAAGACAGAAGAAAGUUGAUCUGUUUUAUCCUGUCAAUCUAAGAAUUUACUUUGCAGGUCAUACGUUAUCUGUCUGUUUAUUUAGACAAUGAAACCAUCAGUGUCAUUGAUAGAAUCAAAUAAACCAGUAGAGAUGUUUUCCUUUCUCGGUAUUCUUUGUUGUUGCUGGAGUAUGCAUUUCUGCCACAAAAACCUUUUUAUGGAAAUAAUAUUUUGUUGUGAGCACCACCAUUUUGUUUUGUAAUUAUUAUUUUGUUUUACCCUACUCACACAGAAAACUGUUUGCGCUAUAUUCUAUUGAAAGAUACAUUUUAAGUUAGCUCUGCUAGUCAUGAAUAACGUAAAUUGACAAGAACUGAGGGAGGUAGACAAAGAAACAGAAAGUUAAGUGGUUUCCUUUCUUUUUAUGGCAGAGUGACAUUUACCUGUAAGUACAUUUGAUUUUAACACAAUGGGAUGAGUCUCUGCUGUGCUGGAUUAGGAUUGAGGCUUGUGGAGGAGUUCAGACAAAGAGUGGGCACUGAGAAAUGCCCUCGCCAGACCUCUCCAGGGAGGCUACUUCAGCAGCAAUAGCAUGUCAGAAUGUCUUUUUUUUAGUCCUUGUAUCCAGCUGACAAAAUCUUUCCUCGUUUCUGUAAUUCCAAGAGAUCUCACAAUGUUUCCCCCAGCUGUCUAACAAUCUAAUACUUAGUGCUUGUCACAUCACUUUCCAAAAGGGGGUCAGUGUCACUUCCCACUCUGACAGCCAGGGAAACCAAGGCAAAAGGAACGGACAGAUGAGUGAGGGUCAUUCCAAGACCCACAACCAGUAUGCCUGGUGUGCACACUCACAUUCCCCACAUUCAAGCAGCAGCUACAGAUUUCCCCAGUUCCCUUAUUCCUCAGAUUUGCCAGCACUGUGCAGGUGGAGUCUAGCUCUCUUGCACUCACUCUAGGUUUAAAUCAGAAAUAACUUCGGUGGGUUCGAUUCGCGGUGUUGUAAAUGAGAGUGCUCCCCUUGACACCAGUAGGGAUCAGUUUUAGGUCUGAAAUUGCAUAGCUGCUCUUGUGUCUAAAGACACUCCUUUGGCUCCUUCCUUACUUCUCUGUGUCACCUUUAUUUUCCUCUUUCAUCCAUAACUUUCUAUGAUUCACAAGGCUACUUUGGAAAAGAGAGACAAAAUCUAGUUGGUCCUUCUCUCCAGAUAAUAAGACACAAAAUUAAUCACACAGAAAUGAACACAGAAAACCAAACAGGCAUGAUCAAUAGAUUCCUUUCCCCAACAGGGUCAGAGGUCUGCAGGGACAGAGCAAACAUCCCGUUGCUUCUGCAGUGCCCUGGGUACUGCAAUUAAAGCUGUCUCACGUUCCUUUGGAGAACAUUGUCCGGACUGCCUCCCAGGGCUUUUCUGCCUUUCUGCUCUCCUUUCAGCUUCUCCAAAGGAGAAGGACGGGAUCUGGCUGUUAGUGAAUGUGACCUGUCCCCCCACGUUACUAUUGCACACUACAGGAGAUGGAGGAAGAAGGAACAAAUAAACUAAAUCUGGGAAACUGCAGUCAGCACUGCAAGAAUUUUCUGAUGGAAAUGGAUUUAAAAAGUGCAAAGAAAGAACACCAACAAUGCCAACAUUUAUAAAUUCACAGGACUGAAACAUCUCUGCUUAUCUCGGAAUGAUACUCAGUUUUAGAAACGUGUUAUGUUAAAACAGUAUCACGUUUAACAGUUCUAAAUUGAUACAAUCUGACUUAUUUAACAUGAAAUUUUCAUUCAAACCGUAAUUUUGCAUAGAGUACUGAGCAUUGUGUUUCCAUCAGCAUUAAUCAAGUCAGGUUUAACAUUUAACCUAAUCUGUUCAAAUGUACUGUUACUCUGCUUAUUUAGAAAGUCAGCAUCUGAUAGGAAAUGGCUGCAAUACCUCUAGCUUUCCUAAAAUGCUGACAGUUUCAACCGUUUCUUGAGAAACACUGAGGACUGCAGCUCCAAACAGAUGCUUCUGCUUUAAAAUGAGAUCACCUUCUUUGGGUAAAAUGGAUGGCUCCUUGCAAAUAAAGCAGUGAUACCACUGGCAGAACACAGAAGGUUACCCAAAAAAACUGGGUGACCACCAUACCUUCUUCUUCCUCAAGGUGUGUCUUCACAGUGCUUUUCUUUCCUUGCUGCUUUACUGUUACUGAUGAUGAUUUCUUAAGGACCAUAAUAUAUUUUCUUCAGGCAAGUAUUUCAUGCCAGCACUGGGAACAUGUUAUUUCCAAAGGAGAAUUUCUGCUUCGAAACACCAGCAAUCAUUUACAGCUUUUUAUGUCUGAUAAGCCACUCCUGAUGAAAACUGAUUGGAGCAAAAGAAACCCUCUACAAUGCACAGGAAUACACUGAAAGUUCAAAAUGUCAGACAUAACAGGAAAAAAGAAAAUAAACUUUUUGCAUCCUUCCAGGUCUGGUAAUACCAUUUAUGGAUCAGUGAAAGGAAGAAAGCAGUGGAUUGACAACAGUAACAUGGAAGACAUCAUUUAUUUUUCUUACC